AAUAAUGUUAUGGAGUAGGACACAAUUCAUCCAUAAGCCCUAGGGAUCAAAAGCAUCAAUAUACUAAUCCUUGGGUCAUAUGAAAGUUAUGUGAUCCUUGUCACUCUAUCUGCUCUUCCUUAUUCCUCCAACACACACACACACACACACACACACACACACACACACACACACAGUUUGUCUCAGCGUUAGUUUCAUGUUACAAGCUAAGAUACAUCAACAUUUGAAUUGUAAUCCCCUUGGUUAAGAUUAUUCACUGAUUCAACUAAUAUCUAUAGCAAAUUCUUAAAAAUCUGAACAAUAUACUAUCCACUGGGUAGAUGUCAUACAUUCAGAUCUUGUAAAUUCUUUACCCAAUUCCUUAGCAUAGAACAAAGUUCUUGCUUUUGUAAAAAUGUCAUUUACAAGGAAUAAAGGUAUGACUCAGGAUCAUUUUCUUAAGCACAUAUAGCGCAGUUUGUCUCAAAAUCAUGGGUAGUAUUGACAGCAUCAAAUGAUCUACAUUUCUAUUAGUAAAUGAAAACAUUAUACCUGGGAGUGGCUAUGUUUCUUUUUAAAAUCAUUUUAAAAUUUUUAGAUUCCAAUAAUGAAUGCACAUAAUUUUAAAUCACCUAUUUCCUAAAAGUUCAUUACACAUAUAGUUGCCCCCUUCACUUUUUCUAUACUCAACUUCUUCCCAAAAGGUUUAAAUUCUUUGGGCCUGUUUAUUACAUUUAUCACAACAUUACAAAAUAACUGAUUGGCAUUAGUACAUUUUUGGUUAUCAAUUUCAGAUGUCAUCAGUUUAUUUUUGUUACAGGAGUUAAGCUCACCCUGUCCCCAGUCAAAUAUACAUAUUAACAUGUAGAUACACAGACAGACAUAGACACACACACACCCUCUCAGUCUCCCAAUGUUAUUUAAUAUUUUUCAUGGAAAAUCAGGGUUGCAUUAUUUAAUAUGCCUUUGUAGUAUAUAUCAUGAUUGAAUUUUUUUCUCCUACAUUUUGCCAUGGAGUUAAUAAUUGCCUCUUUCUUCCUAUUUUCUCAGCUUCAUUUGGAGUCAUUAUUACAUUUUGCAAAUAUUUCAACUGACCUUGCAAAUGCCUAUGGUGGUCUGGAACUGAACCUACAGAAUCUCUGAGAGACAGGAGCCAAGUCAGAGCUACAUUAAUCCAGAAACCAAAAGUAAGUAGACAAUAUUGUGAAUAUUAAUGCAAGGUGGCAGCUCUUAUUUUUCACCAUCCCAUCCUAUUUUUCCUCGGAACCAAUUUGUACAAAAUGUAUUUAAAAAUCAGAAAGUUAAAGACAACCAAUUUUCAACUCAUUGACCUACAAAUUUGUCUUUGAUUGCAGGGCACUU